UACGUAGGGUGCUAGCGUUGUCCGGAUUUAUUGGGCGUAAAGAGCUCGUAGGCGGCGUGUCGCGUCGGUUGUGAAAGCCCGGGGCUUAACUCCGGGUCUGCAGUCGAUACGGGCAUGCUUGAGUUCGGUAGGGGAGAUCGGAAUUCCUGGUGUAGCGGUGAAAUGCGCAGAUAUCAGGAGGAACACCGGUGGCGAAGGCGGAUCUCUGGGCCGAUACUGACGCUGAGGAGCGAAAGCGUGGGGAGCGAACAGG
rnacentral:rRNA from 1 species